UACGGGGGGGGCAAGCGUUGUUCGGAAUUACUGGGCGUAAAGGGUGCGUAGGCGGCUUAGCAAGUCGGAUGUGAAAGCCCUCGGCUCAACCAAGGAAGUGCAUCCGAAACUGCUGAGCUUGAGUACUUAAGAGGAUCGCGGAAUUCCCGGUGUAGAGGUGAAAUUCGUAGAUAUCUGGAGGAACACCGGUGGCGAAGGCGGCAUCCUGGACCGGCAUUGACGCUGAGGCGCGAAAGCCAGGGGAGCAAACGGG
rnacentral:rRNA from 1 species